UUUUCUCUCCGGCCUCUGCAUCGAUCGAUGCAUACAGCCAUAUAUUAUUAAAAUCAUCCAUCAUCCAAAAUCAUCCAAAGAACAAGUAGCCGGAUACCAAAGAAAAAUUACAUAGAAAAAACAUCAAAAUCCUUCCAGCUUAAGAACUGUACGCCAUCCAAACCGGCUGAAUAACUCCCGUGCGACCAUCUCCAAACGGUUGCACCCAAAAUCCAUACAUUUCUGAGCCUCCGUCCGAAAUAGUAGGGGCCACAUACGGAACCAAUGGGACGUCCGAAGAACGACCUGCAAGAAGUUAGCCACUCUCUUG
rnacentral:lncRNA from 1 species